CUCUCCUUCCCAUCUUUUCUUUAUAUAUAUAUAUAGAGAAUUAGGCUGGAAUACUAUUAAUAGUAAAACGCUCUUUUUGCUAUCAAAUUUUUAACCCUUGGAUGAAAAAUUAUAGGGUCAGGAUGAUAUUAGUCGGUUAGAGUUGAGUGGUCCCCACUGGGUUAUAGUAUUUAAUCCAAUGGUUAGAAAUAAUAAAAAGAGUUGAUCCAAAGGCUAAAAAACUGGUAGCAACAAUGGAAUUUUGCUACUAAUAGUAGCCCAGUCCAACUCUAUAUAUAUAUAUAUAUCCAACUAUUAUACUAUUCUGAGUACGAUCGUCCUCGUACUCAUAUAUUAUUUUCGUUGAUAAAGCUUUCAAAUCGAUGAUCCACACCAUUAAACAUUAUCUAGAGCAUUUGAAACAUCUAGAAAUCAAAUUUUAUAAUUUUUCGACAUCAUUUACCUUACGAUCAAAAGCUCACAAAAUU
rnacentral:lncRNA from 1 species